GCCCUCGUAGUGAAACGGAUAUCAUCACAGACUUCGAAUCUGUUGUUGGAGGUUCGAAUCCUCCCGAGGGCA
rnacentral:tRNA from 1 species